rnacentral:rRNA from 1 species
UCCAGACUCCUACGGGAGGCAGCAGUGGGGAAUAUUGCACAAUGGGGGAACCCUGAUGCAGCGACGCCGCGUGGGCGAUGGAGUGCUUCGGCAUGUAAAGCCCUAUCAGCAGGGAAGAAAAUGACGGUACCUGACUAAGAAGCCCCGGCUAAAUACGUGCCAGCAGCCGCGGUAAUACGUAUGGGGCAAGCGUUAUCCGGAUUUACUGGGUGUAAAGGGAGCGUAGGCGGCCUGGCAAGCCUGAUGUGAAAUACCGGGGCCCAACCCCGGGGCUGCAUUGGGAACUGCCAGGCUGGAGUGCCGGAGAGGCAGGCGGAAUUCCUAGUGUAGCGGUGAAAUGCGUAGAUAUUAGGAGGAACACCAGUGGCGAAGGCGGCUUACUGGACUGUAACUGACGUUGAGGCUCGAAAGCGUGGGGAGCCAACAGGAUUAGAUACCCGAGUA